rnacentral:piRNA from 1 species
CAUCUGUACCUGCUAACUUUAUAGG